CACCUAGGCUCACAGAUGCAUGCAAUUGCGUCAUGAAUACCUGUUAUUUUUACCAUUCACCAGUACUCAUGCAGAGAGGGUAUGAGACACUGGGAACGCAGACAGCGUUGGUUCGACCCAAAUCCUUGCAGUGACAGCCUGUAAUCUUCUGUCUUGAGAGAAAGGAGGCACCGACGAGCUCCGAUCAUGAGGCGUGGUCAUCCCAUCAGCAGUGCAUCACAAGGAGGCAUGUUGUAAGCCAGUCCCACUAUUACCAUAAGGGCAUUCCUGUGUUUGUUCAAGAUAUAAGAAUGUGGCCCUUAGGCGGUCUUAGGCGGUCUACAAAAUCUGACCGUUUUUUUUCUCUGAAGCCAACUAGGCUAGACAUUAUGUAAUAUGGGACGAUGCAAUCAUGUGUUUACUGUAGCAAUAAGCCAUUGUUUUAUGCAGCUACAUACACUAUGGAAGUUUGGUUAAUUGCAAAAUGUUGGCAUGCAUGUUUACUUUGUGGUGGUUCAUGACAUAGACUGGCCAGGUGAAUCCAGGUGAAUUAUUGAUGUCACUUGUUAAAUCCACUUAAAUCAGUCUAGAUAUAGGGGAGGAGGACAGGUUAAAGAAGGAUUUUUAAGCCUUGAGACAAUUGAGACAUGGAUUGUUUAUAUGUGUCAUUCAGAGGGUGACUGGUAAAUACAACAUAUCUGAGUGCCUUUGAACAGGGUAUGUUACUGUAGUAGGUGCCAGGCGCAGCGGUUUAGGUCAAGAACUGCAACGCUGUUGGGGUUUUUCACACUCAACGGUUUCCCAUUUGUAUGAAGAAUGUACAUAUGUGCUAUAAUAUUAAUGACUUAAUAUUAAUCCAUUUAUUAUCUCAAAACCAUACAAAUGCUCAUUUUUAGCCAAACAAUUAAUGUGCUUACUCAACUGUGUGGGAAGGUGUGCCCCAUUAGUACAUUUUUCUAUCCAAUAUUUCUCUUCAUUUAGGUGACCCCUCAGACGCAAAGGUUCCAUAUAGCCUCUUUUAACUACUGUGAAUUCAUGUGAACUUGGAUAUAUGAAGGAAUGAUUCU
rnacentral:lncRNA from 13 species